AGUGAACGCUGGCGGUAGGCCUAACACAUGCAAGUCGAACGGCAGCACAGUAAGAGCUUGCUCUUACGGGUGGCGAGUGGCGGACGGGUGAGGAAUACAUCGGAAUCUACUUUUUCGUGGGGGAUAACGUAGGGAAACUUACGCCAAUACCGCAUACGACCUACGGGUGAAAGCAGGGGAUCUUCGGACCUUGCGCGAUUGAAUGAGCCGAUGUCGGAUUAGCUAGUUGGCGGGGUAAAGGCCCACCAAGGCGACGAUCCGUAGCUGGUCUGAGAGGAUGAUCAGCCACACUGGAACUGAGACACGGUCCAGACUCUUACGGGAGGCAGCAGUGGGGAAUAUUGGACAAUGGGCGCAAGCCUGAUCCAGCCAUACCGCGUGGGUGAAGAAGGCCUUCGGGUUGUAAAGCCCUUUUGUUGGGAAAGAAAAGCAGCAGGUUAAUACCCCGCUGUUCUGACGGUACCCAAAGAAUAAGCAUCGGCUAACUUCGUG
rnacentral:rRNA from 1 species